GAGAGCUGAUGCUGAGGAUGACAGCUUCCAAGGUGUCUCCAAGUGAGAACCCCCAUAGCUGCUCCUGGGCUCAGUGGGAGAGAAGCCUGGUCUGAGUGUGAGUGAAGGAGCAGUGAAUCCAGGAGGCUUCCCUUGUGUGGUGAAGAUGGACAACUACUGACAGAGGACACUGCAACAAAAGUAACAGGAGAGGAUUACAUUUGAUUUUAGCAGAGUACAGUGUGAAAACUGAGCGAAGAAGCUAUUUCUAGAAGAAAGCAGCAUGUGUAACAGCAAUAAGAGUAAGAAUCAGUCUUGCCCUUUUAACUCCAACUCCAUCUGCUGAUCACUCAUAUGAGAGUUCUAACAUCAGAGCUGCUUCCGAGCAUUGCUGAAGAUGUGGAAGAGUGAAAUCUUUUUUGUCAAGCCUCCAAGACCAAAUAGCACCAGAGAUGAAAUUUUGAAUAUGUUGGUAACACUGCUCUAUUGAUCUCAAAACACUUUACAAACAUUAACUAAUUAAGCUUUAAAAAAACAAAAUAAGUUUGCAUUAAUGACACCCAUUUAGCAGAUCAAGAAGUGGAGGUAAACAAAGGGUAAGUGAAAUGUCCAGUCAAGUGAUGAGUGAAGGUCAGAGGAAGGUCUCCUGUUUUCUAUUUGUUCCGCUUUUAUUGUGAUCUCAUUGAAAAAAAUUUUGCAGGGGAGCUUGCAGCCAUUUCAGUUUGAAACAUUUGGACAUUUUAUCACAAUCUUGAGCUUUUCUUACAAGUAUCAAGGUAAUAUAAAAGCUCAUAAAAGUAAUAAACGUUUUCAGGCUCUCUGGUCCAGCUUUGAUUUUCAAAAGGCAAUUUCUUAUAGUGGAAUGGGGCCAGGAGUGGUUGUGGGGUUUUCUGUGUUGUGAGCCUUUUUUUCUCAUUUGUGUUUUUCUGGUGGUGCUAGAUGGACAGAAAAGUACCUUAACCUUCAAAAUGGGAGUCCCUUCAUGUGGGCUUUACACUGAUGUCAUGCAUCUAUCCCACCCUUCCUAUGGGAGGACUAGGGCCUUCUCAGGGGAUUUCUCUGCUCUGGUGAGCACAGCCAGUCUGUGAGCCUCAGGGGCUCUUACAGAGUAGAAUGGCUUAGAGUCAGUGGAGCAACCCUGGAUUAAAAUCAGUGUUAAAAAUUGGGGGAUCAGGCACACAGUAAGUGAAUCAUACAGAGCAGUGCUGACCCGCACAGAGAAUGAUGGCUUAGAACAGAUUCCUUGGAGACCUUAGGUUAUCCUUGGAAAGGGAGGCCUCAAAGCCAAGCCUUAUACUUUCUUAAUGGGUUUCAUUAGGAAGAAAUAAAAGGAACUGGAAAAAAAGAAAAUGUAGCUUAAAAAGGAACAGCUUCGGUACAGUCUAAAAUUCGUUCCAUUUUUCAAUAAAAGAAGCCAAUGCUGCCUUGAAAUUCAUGUCCCUUCAAAGUUCAAGGAGGCCUGUAUUGUUGGCCUGCUCAGUCAGAACGCUCCAGCCACUUAUUGUAUGUGGAAUGCACUCCAGGGAGUGACUGAAAAAAUAUGAUUUAGUGAAAGCUUGUACCCAAAACACAUCAUUGGCCUCUGAUCUCUGAACAUUUAAAUAUUUCAAGCUUACAAGCGGACGCUGUCACGAGGACAGACCCUGAUCCCUAGCUGAUUCUAGAACAUCUGUUGAGGCAUUUACCAAGUUAAUAGAUUAGCUAUGAGAAUCAGGCAGGUGUUUUUCACCAAAGCCAGAAAACAUCAAAAUCAGAUUGCCCUCCAAGUCUUUCAGCACAGGCAAUCGAGUUAGAAUGACUCAUAGAGUCUAACAGAUAAUAAAACACACAUAACAUUUGCUUUAAGGUACAGGUGGGGAUAUUUUGUACUGCACUUAGGAGAAAGAAAAACUAACUCUAUUUGGGAAUAGAGUAAUUGAAUACAGAUGGGAGGAGGCAAAUGAAAGAAUUUAGCAAAUAUCUCAGUGGAAUAGCUAAUGGGAACGAGACAGAAUAGGAAAUUAAAAAUUAUUCGAAGCAGAUGGACCAUUCUUUGAGUUUUUUAAAAUUUAUUAGGGCUGCGAAAAAAAUGUGUCUGUUUAUUUUCCACGGCCAUGAAAUUAAUGACUUGGUGAGUUGUGCUUGUGCAAUUUUAUGACUGCCAUGUCAUUUGUCAUAAUUUGGGUUCUGUUUGAUAUGGAUUUAUGAAUAUUUCCUCCCCCCAGCAUGAUUUAUGGGUGUUGGUCAUAUGUGAAUUAGACUGUCACCUUUAGUAUGAAAAAGUACAAAUGACAGAUUAUAAAAAAAAAAAGUGCUCAAGUCCUUAGUGCUGGAAAGCAGAGUUCACGAUUCCCUGCUCUGCUUCUUCAUUGGAAGUUUUUGUUUGGAGCUGACGAUUAAAUGUUUGGACUUGAGUCAAGCAUAUGGAAACAUUGAGAGGGCUUGAAUAGAUCUGAACUCAUCUGAACUUCACCUGUGAAACUCAGCUUGAGUCAUCCUUUCCUUGUAUUAUGCAUUGAAAAUAAAAAAUCUGUAUGCUACUUGCUGUAGGAACAACUGAUUUACUGUACCAGAGCAGCAAGUUGGCCUUGAAAAUUUGCUGUCCUGCUUCCAGUAGUGGCUAGCUGUGGUGAAGCUUCCAUGAAAAGUGGAAAUAAUCUUACACAGUAUGUUCAGUUACGCAGCACUGCAUAGUUGAAAGAGUGAAAUGAAAGGACAUAUGAAACAGGCUGGAUUCCUGUAAUAAUAAUAGUAUUCUAGGUUUAGAUCCAAAGCACUAACUUUUAUACUAGCUGUUAUCACUUCCAUGAAAACUACUACUCUUUGCUCUUUGUUUUGCAAUGUGUAGCAACAGCAUGCAUGAAUUUAGGACAGGAGAAGCACAGUUGCUCCUGGAUUAGAGCCACAUGACUUCAAGCACGGAACUAUGGCACCUAAGUUAUUACCUAGUCACCCAAGGAUCCCCCAUUGAUGCUGGAAAGUGACAUGCACCUCCAGAGGCUAAUUCCACCCACGUGUCUUCAUCCAUUGGCUAAACAGACAGAGAAAAAAUGAGUACCCCUUCCUCAUUUAGUUCCCCAGUUUGGUCUAGAAAUUCAUGUGGGAGGAAUUAGAGGCCAGCAUGGGAUACAGCUUUAAAAAGAAGAAACAAUACACCUUGCGUGUCAACAUGGCAUUUCCAAGCAUCUUGCAUCCUGAGCAGCGUUUCCUUUAUGAGGGAUACAAAUUCUACAGUUCUUAGACAGCUGUAUGCUGAAGCCCAUUUACUGAGGCCCAGACAGCACUGCUUUUCCAGUGGGAGGCUGAUAAUUCUUACUGAGUAUCUCUGCACUUGUGGAGAAAGGAUGGUUACUUUACAGGGAACCACCAGGGCAGUCUCUGCAUGGCUUUCUAGCACCUAUUACCUCUAAAGCUAACUGAGCUCCUCUUUUUUUUUUGCUUGGUUAUUUUAAUAGUCAAGCAAGAGCCUGCAUUAGCAGGUCAUGUCUGCUGUUUUGAUGGUAGCUGAGAUGCUUUACAUGGUGAUAUGCAGCUGCACAGAACUGGACUACCUUGAAAAAUAAACCUGGAUCAUUUGUAUUUGAAUUAAAGUCCAGUAAUUGUAGAAUCAUAGAACCAUUUAGGUUGGAAAAUACCUUUAAGAUCACUGAGUCCACCAUUUUGAUUACUCAUCAGGAAACCCGCACAAAUUUUGGAGAAAGCUGGGCUCGUCAAUUGUAGUAUAUUGAUAUGCAUCAGAAAUAUUUUAUUUGCUUUGGCUGAUGAAGCUUGUAUUCGCCUAGCACAUCUAAUCAGCCUAUUCCUAUGCUCCAAAGUUACUUUCACAGAGUAAAAGUAGCUGGUCUUUAAGUUGACUUGCAGAUCCAAAGGGCAAAUUUUUCAUAAGAUAGAAAACUGAAAAAAAUUUCAGUUUCAGUCAAGUUAAAUAUUUAAUUUAAAUAAAAAGAAAAUGUGCUGUUUAGGACUUACUUAUGUUAAAUAAGUUUUUUUCCUGACUUGAAAAAUGAUUCUGAACAAGCUCUUUAUGAAUCUUCUUUUUCAGAAAUAGUUUUUUUUAAUUACCGGAAGUCAAUAAUUUCAAUUCUUUUCCAAUAUUUCAGGGUGGUUUUUUCUGCCUAUAUGCUAAUUAGGAAAAUGAAGCAAAUUUGCAGAACCUUUCAAGAAGCCUGCAUUUAUGCCCUCCAUUUUUUUAAAAUUUUUUUGUCAAAGCAUUGAGCCUAGAUUAAUUCUCUUAGUUACUUUUCUAUUUUCUCACUCACUGGAUGGAUUGUCUUGUAAAUUUUGCAGUAUGUUUCACCGUAUUUUGAAGUCAGUGAAACACAAAAUCCUUUUCUGUAAAAACAAUUAUACUAGGUUUGGGGUGGAAAGAGGAGAAUAUGAGCUGUUGGAUAACAGUAGUGCUCUCACUGAGCUUAGAUUGAAGCUGUUUCGCUGUAUCUGGCACUUAAAAGGCCAACCUGCUCCUACCCUGUUACCAUAAAGAAAUUUGCCAGGAAGGCAGGUGUCUAACUAUACAGGCAAUCAGAUUACAGAGCAAAGUAAUCAUGAUUUCCGAUUUUCAGCAUAGGUUGCCACAUUAGCACAUGUACUUUGGAAGAGAGGGAGAAGUAAUCACAGCAAGAUAAGGACAAGGGUGGAGAUCAUUUGAACCAAUACAGUUAUAAUAGGGUAGUAAAUUUUAUUUAGCUUUUAUUAAACCAUUUUGUUUCUUUUAUACUAAAAAUAGGGUAAAGCUAUCUGAAAAUGAGAAAAUUCCCGAGUUUGCUUUCAUUUGUUUUUAAGAGUUACUGAAACGAAGCAGUGUGUUUCUUGGGAGGCACCAUUUGCACACACAUGUCUGCAACUCUCAGUGAGUCACAGCUGCAGAGUUUCUUUAAGGCAUGCAUGCUUGGCUUUGACAUGUUGAGAUUUAUGGUGAGAUUUAAGUUCUUGUACCAAUGGUGACGUUUCCUGAAUAGUUUUCAUCCAGAUGGUCUCCAAGAGGAUAAGGUUUAACAAGAUUUAUUCACUGAGAGGGGGCAAUGUGAAUUAAAAUUACAAGGGGUACUGUAUAUACACUAAUUCUUUGCCAUUCACUGCCUCAUGAAAUGUAGAAAAUCCUUGCUCUUCAUUCCCCCCAAACGAAGUUAAAUGGAGUUGCUUCUUUCAACAUACUGUUCCACUCUGAGCAGAUUAGGGCUCUGGCAAACAAGUGCUAUUAAUUUUGCUGGGGUGGAGGAAGGGGUUACUGCCCUUAUUGUCUACCCUGCCACUUUGCCACAGACUUCCACCUUACUAGUGGAGGCAGCAGAUGUAAGCAAGUGCCAGUUUAUCAAUUGUUACAGUUUGCAGACCAUUGGCAGUUAAAAUUAAUGUGCUGGCUCAGAGCUCUAUGGGUGAAGGCUGGACCAUAUCGCUUUCUGAUGGCUCUGUUUCAGCUUCUGGUGGGGGACUGCUGCAGACAGCUGGGAGAGGUAGCCUCUUAAGCCAUUAUCACUAAAUCCAGCACAAGAUCUCUGAGUGAGCUCCAAGUCUUCAGCCUUUGAGAGCCAUUAGGUCUGCUCGCACUAUUUGGGGUCCUGAGGCUGUAUUUUCAAUGGGUUACUUAAAAUGAGUGGAGCACCAACAGUUUGUGCAGGCUGAGUAUCUAGGCAUGCUAAUUCAGGUUAUGAUUGCUGAACCUAGAUUUUCUGGAAAAUUAUACAUAUUAUAAAUGAAAGAAUUGAUGUCAUUUCAUACUAAAACCUUGUAGGUUUUUAUAAGGCUAUUGACUCACAGUGAAACAAUUCAGCAUGUGCUUAACGGCUGCAAGGUAAGUAUCUUCAUUGAAGAAAACUAAUAGGUAAUGAUGCCAUGCUUAAAGCUAAACCAUUUAUAAGCAUUUUGUUGGACAGAGUUUUAUUGUUCAGGUUUUUCUUUUAAAAAUACUGUGAAGUGACUAUGGAAGCUAUAGAAUUAGAGGCUUAUUCAAGUUCUGCUUAAAAAGAAGUUAAGUCAAGGUAUUAGAGGUCAGUGUCCUUUACCCAUUUGCCAUUUUUCUCAUUUGCAGCCUGUUUUGUCCCCAUAUCUAGAAGUAUUGGGAGUAUCUUAGCUGUUAACAAUUUAGCUUCUUUAGCAGGAUCAAGACAUUUCAGUUUGAAUAUCAUAUCAAACCAAAACUUGAAUGACAGAAGGCAACAAGUUCAUCCUAGAGGAGCAUUUCUAAGAAGACAGAAUGUCCUGCUUGACAACAAGAAAAAAAAUAAUUGACAGCAUAUUUCCUUAACCACUUUGAGCAUGUUCAAGAUAUCCUGGAUGCCUUACAGCCUUCUCAAAUGGCACUGGGCACCUGUGCAUUGGACAGGAAUCCUGGCCUUUGCUUUGGGAAGCAGCACGUUCCUGAAGGGCCACAGCAGUGUGGUCAUGGCCACAGCCAAGCAUGGCAGCAGUGAGCAAGUUGGACACAUCUUUGAACAGGACGAUUGAAGUGUUUUGGUUUGGUUUGGUUGGAAGACUGUACUAGCUUGCCAGAGGGAAUUCAGAGGAAACUAGAAUACUUUCCCAAAGAGAAGGAAAUGACGUUCAGAAGGAAGUUAUAAAAGAACAGAGGAGCACAGGUAGGCCUUUUCUAAGCAAUUUUUCCAGAACAAAAAAAAAAUCUAAAUUAACUAAUCUUAUGCCAAAAGUUGUCUAAGAGUACAAAAAUCUGAGUUCUGUUCCAUCUUCUUGUCUUUACUGAACAUUAAAUUAACUGUAAGUAUCCCUAUGCUUGCAUGAUUUAUCUCUUACAGUAUUGUAGGAGAGAAAACUUUGAAAGGAGCCUUUAAAAUCAAGAGUGCAAUAACAAAUUUUUUGUAGUUUUGCAAUACAGCUUUAACAAAGGAUGUAUUUUCUUUGCUCUUCAGUCUGGAUUUCUGUCUUUCAACAUGAGAAAAUAAAAACUGAUAGAUUGUAUGCUGAAGUCCAUGCUUCUGUCACUCUCCAGUUUGUGGGUGAGAAAUGAAAGGGGCUAACUUUUCUUGCUGAUGAGCUACAUGCAUUUUGUAUGUUUAUAUGCAGUGAGUAUAAAAAAGUGUUUUCUCAUUUCCUUAGAUUUAAGUUUGCAGCUCUGGUAUAUUGCUCCCCUUCCUACCAUUCAUAGUAACCUUUGUCUUUCUAAAUUAGAAGCCCUACAGUCAUCCGGGAUGAAAAUGAAGGUGUCAUCUAUGAAGACAGGGUUUUCAUCUGUCUGACCCAAACAGUGGCAAUGUGGAUUACUCAUCAGGGAAAGCUGAUUCCAAGGAAAUAUGUGGAUCAUAAAGCAGGCACCAAUUUGUCACUGCAUAGUAAACCUUUGAAGAAAACACGUGUCUGGGAAGUACCAGGACGUAGUUUUGGAGGAGUACAAGCUCAAUGACACCAUGGUCUCACUGUGUUAUGCAAGAGCACAAAAAUCUUAUAAGAAAGUGAAGCUUUAUUAAAGAGACACUGCUGGGAUAAUUUUCUUCAAUUUUGAUUUCUGGGCAUAUGCUGAACAUCUGUCUCUACAGGGAACAUGACAACUCUGGGAUAGCUGUUUUAUCUCUAGGAAGUCUUCAAACAUCACAUGAAUCAAGUCUACUGAGAGCAUACUGCACAAAGCUUAACAACACAAUUUCAGAACAGUAAAAGAAAAUGUUUUUGAAGGAAAAGUGUUUCUGCCAAUAAUGCUAGGGUGCUGAAAUGUACAGUGAUUUGUAUUUUGAUGUGCUGCAUCCAUACAACUGGAAAUUGGACAGAGUAAAAACUACUACUAAGAAAAUGCUCGAGACUGGCAAGAAGAAAGUAUCUGCCACCACUGAAAAAAGGAUGCCUAAUACUUAUAGAGUUUCCUUUACAAACUUUUUCAGACCACAGUUGUGGAUGUCCCUCCUGAAAUGGCACUUUCUGCUCUAUUCACACCAGAAGGCAAUUGGAACUCACGUGUGAUUCUCCAUCCUCCUAGCACUUCAUAGAGACAUCUGACCAGAGACUGCUGAUGCACAGGCAGCUGGAAUAUGUGCUGUUUUAUUCAGAAAAGAGUGUGGGAAUAAGUAAACAGAAGGGCCAGAAAUCCUCACUCUAGGGAACUGUGGAACUGAUACUGGAAGACUGUCAAGUCAGAAUAUCCCUAGAUUAAUAGGACAUGACUUCAAGCCAUACAUGAAUCCAGAUUCCAGAGGCUUGAGCUCAGGUAAAAGUCUGGAUUACGUGAAAUUUGUGAGAAAAGUACAGGAAAUCUACAGUGAUUUCAUGUAUUUAAAGCCUGUUCUCAAUCAAACUACUAAGACAAUUAAUUUCAACAGGAAAAAAAAAACAAAAGAACCCAAACAAACCUGGAAGGGACUUCCAGAAUUUUGAAUUAAGAAAUUUUCAAAAAUUCAAGUUUAAGAUAUUACUUGAAAACUGUCUCAGGCUGAGGAGGGAUCUGAAUCUAAUUGUCACAGCCCUACAAAAUUAUUCUACAUAUAGAAACUUAUAACAUACAUAAUAACCUUAUUCUAGUUUGUAUUCUAGAACAAACAUGUCUGCAUGAGACAGUUAUUCAGUAAGGAUGCUGCUUUUAUUCUUAAAUUCCACAUGCAGUCAAGCUCUCAGUCAAAUCACCACAACUCUGUAUGUAGAUGAAUUGUCAGUCUCUCUCUGCUUACAUUUACAGGAAAUCUGUAUCUCUGCUACUAAAUGCAGCUGACAGAUCUGAAAAUGUCACAUUUGUUUGCAAAGUAGGCAGAGAUCUUAAAAGCUCUCACCCCUAUUAGCCUACUAUUUUUGUGUCCUUUGCAUGAGUUAUGAACUGCAUAUUCUUCAUAUUUUGUGUUAAAUGUCAUUAGCAAACUAAUAAAUGUUAUGGAGAGAGGAAAAGUUUUUUCUUCCCUUGUUUGCCAAAUUCCUUCUUAUUUUGUGUUAAAUAUCAUUAGGAAACUGAUAAAUGUUAUUGAGAGAAGGAAAAGUUUUUUUCUUCCCUUGUUUCCCAAAGUGAAGAGGUUUUGAGUGUGAUGUAAACUUUAUAUUUGAGUCUAGGAGAAGAAAGUUGCUUUUCUUUGGGAAGGGGAAGGAAAUAAAUCUUCGUUCUAGUUCAGUAAAAAAAUCCUAUAUAUUAGACCUUUUUACCAUAAAGACUUUCUUUUCUUCAUGCUAUUUGUGUUUGUCACCCAUGUUUUCCUAAUUCUGUCACGAGUACUGUC